GUGGGGAAUAUUGGGCAAUGGGGGAAACCCUGACCCAGCAACGCCGCGUGAAGGAAGAAGGCUUUCGGGUUGUAAACUUCUUUGACCAGGGACGAAACAAAUGAGGGUACCUGGAAAACAAGCCACGGCUAACUACGUGCCAGCAGCCGCGGUAAUACGUAGGUGGCAAGCGUUGUCCGGAUUUACUGGGUGUAAAGGGCGCGUAGGCGGGAUGGCAAGUCAGAUGUGAAAUGCCGGGGCUUAACCUCGGCACUGCAUUUGAAACUGCUGUUCUUGAGUAUCGGAGAGGCAGGCGGAAUUCCUAGUGUAGCGGUGAAAUGCGUAGAUAUUAGGAGGAACACCAGUGGCGAAGGCGGCCUGCUGGACGACAACUGACGCUGAUGCGCGAAAGCGUGGGGAGCAAACAGGAUUAGAUACCCGGGUAGUCC
rnacentral:rRNA from 1 species